rnacentral:rRNA from 1 species
UACAGAGGGGGCAAGCGUUGUUCGGAAUUACUGGGCGUAAAGGGCGCGUAGGCGGCCCGCUAAGUCGAACGUGAAAUCCCCGAGCUCAACUCGGGAACUGCGUCCGAUACUGGCGGGCUUGAAUCCGGGAGAGGGAAGCGGAAUUCCAGGUGUAGCGGUGAAAUGCGUAGAUAUCUGGAGGAACACCGGUGGCGAAGGCGGCAUUCUGGACCGAAACUGACGCUGAGGCGCGAAAGCCAGGGGAGCAAACGGG